rnacentral:rRNA from 1 species
AGUGAACGCUGGCGGUAGGCCUAACACAUGCAAGUCGAACGGCAGCACAGUAAGAGCUUGCUCUUACGGGUGGCGAGUGGCGGACGGGUGAGGAAUACAUCGGAAUCUACUUUUUCGUGGGGGAUAACGUAGGGAAACUUACGCUAAUACCGCAUAUGACCUACGGGUGAAAGCAGGGGAUCUUCGGACCUUGCGCGAUUGAAUGAGCCGAUGUCGGAUUAGCUAGUUGGCGGGGUAAAGGCCCACCAAGGCGACGAUCCGUAGCUGGUCUGAGAGGAUGAUCAGCCACACUGGAACUGAGACACGGUCCAGACUCCUACGGGAGGCAGCAGUGGGGAAUAUUGGACAAUGGGCGCAAGCCUGAUCCAGCCAUACCGCGUGGGUGAAGAAGGCCUUCGGGUUGUAAAGCCCUUUUGUUGGGAAAGAAAAGCAGCAGGUUAAUACCCCGCUGUUCUGACGGUACCCAAAGGAUAAGCACCGGCUAACUUCGUG